rnacentral:tRNA from 7 species
UCACCUGUAGCUCAGUUGGUUAGAGCAGUCGCCUGUUAAGCGAAAGGUCGUAGGUUCAAGUCCUACCUGGUGAGCCA